CUUGGAAGGGAAUUCUACUGACUUCCUGUACACACCCAGAAAGUUACUUCUGGUACAAAAAUUGCGCCAAAACGUCAUAAGAUGUUUGUGGUUUUCAGCAGCUGGCUUGUUUGGAAUAUCUGUCUAGCUCAAAAAUGGCUCCAGUGGUUAGAAACAGGUGUUGGAUGGCAGAAUGGUUUUGUGGAAACUGCAAGCAUGUGACGGCUUAAUUUUCUUCCACAAGGUUGUGAAACCAGUUUGCAGGUGACGCUAAAGCUAACAGAUUUACAGCACCAGUUGACGUACAGCCAACACUUACAGUGCCUUGUUAAUUGUCAAAAGAAAUGUUUCUGUGCCUCCUUUUGUUAAAACAGAUGUAGCAAUGUGAAGCGUGAGGCCAUAAUGUACAAAGAGCGCUCUUCACCUCAACUGUGGUCUUCUGAAGAAAUGCCUCUGUGCAAUCGCUAGACUACUGGCAGAUGAGGUGUAGAAUGUUGAUAAAAAAAACUCACAUCCAGGCUGCAAGUUGGUAAGAACAGACUGGGGCUACUGUUGCCUUUCCCAUAUAUUAGAUUACAUUUUGUAACAAACUGCUUUAUAACUUACAAAGCAGAAACCUAAUGCUGCUGUUUAGCUAAGGUUUUAUGAUUUAAUGUUUGUUCAUUUUGAUUUUCAUCCGUUGUUCAUGUACUGAUCCAAUUGUUAUUUCUUUUUGAAAUUGCUACAACAAAGGCAUGAUGUAUACAUUGUAUUCUGUGGGCCGACUGCUCUCACCACCUGUGAUCAUGGAAAGCAGAUUCCAAUCUGUACCUUCAAAUGCCUUUUGGUUUUUUUUUUUUUGUUUUUUUUUUCUUUUCUUUUUGUCUGUUGUGAAUGUAUAUCUUUGUCUCCUGUGCAUCUCCCAUGAACAUUUGUCAAAGGUUAUCCUGUCAAGCUAAUGUUUGCUACAUGAAAAGGACACAUCUGAUGCUCAACAUGUGCUACGUCAUUCUACUCCACAAGAUGAGAUUUUGUUGGGAUUGUUAUGUAAAGUGAUCGUGUUGGGGAGAUUUACAUUUUUUUGCGUCUACACCAUUCAAGGAUUCAACGAGAUUCGUAAAUCCUCGGACGUUAUCAGAACGCCACGUUGAUGCUAAAGCACUUGGAAAAAAAUGUCUACAUGAAACCAUUUCUCCGUUACAUCAGCCCAGGUGUUUCAACAGUUGGAGUGUGUUUUGUGUAACUCUGCUGCUCUCACAACUCGGUGUACCCAUGGAAAGGGAUUGUCCUUGGCGUUCCUGUUUGAACUAUAAACCUGGCUGUUUUAAUAAAGUGUUUCUGAUGAUAUCUGUUCUGUUAAUAAAGCUGUGACUGAUCUUA